rnacentral:lncRNA from 1 species
UCCUAACGUGUUUCCGCUGUUUACUUCUAGCAGUUUCAUAGGUUCAGGGUUGAGUGGACUCAGGAGGAUGCUGUCCAGUCCGGGAUGUGGAGAGGCAGGGGCUGUGGGGCCCCGGGGCCAGAUGGAGUGAUGCGGACCCCCACCGCCAGAUGGCACUGUGCUGGGGGUGGAGAGGAACAAAGCCGGUUCCCUCUGGAACGAGGCUGGCAUCUCCCUGCCCUGGGCUCGGAGACUGUGAGGGCCAAGAGGCACUCCUGCAGCCAACUUGUAGAUGUCCCUGGUGGGAGCGUGGACUGCAGGGGACCUCUCACUUACCUUUCCCCACAAUGGGUAGUCCUUGUUGCCCCGAGUCAGUCCCGUCCCGUUGUUUUGCUUCCCGCUCUCGGCCGCCACCUUGAGUCUCCACGCCUCGGCGCCUCAGCGCUCUCCUGGCGCCUCAGCGCUCUCCUGGCGCCUCAGCGCUCUCCUGGCGCCUCAGCGCCGCCUGCCUCCCUCCUCGCUGAACGCCAACAGUGCUCUUCCUCAGAUGCUCGAUUUGACUGGCGUGAGGUACAAAACGGUCACGAAAGUGAAAUCAUGAGACUAUUACUGAUGUAA